UGCGUAGGCGGCAUGAUAAGUCAGGGGUGAAAGCCCACAGCUCAACUGUGGAAUUGCCUUUGAUACUGUCAAGCUUGAAUUAGGUUGAGGUUGGCGGAAUGUGACAUGUAGCGGUGAAAUGCAUAGAUAUGUCACAGAACACCAAUUGCGAAGGCAGCUGGCUAGACCUUAAUUGACGCUGAGGCACGAAAGCGUGGGGAGCGAACAGGAUUAGAUACCCUGGUAGUCC
rnacentral:rRNA from 1 species